rnacentral:rRNA from 1 species
UUUUUAUGGUUUUAUAUAAGAUAAUUUUUGCCCAAUGAUUGAUUUUAAUUAAAUGGCUGCAGUAUAUUGACUGUACAAAGGUAGCAUAAUAAUUAGUUUUUUAAUUGGAAACUUGAAUGAAAGGAUAAAUGAGAAAUUUACUUUAUUGAUUUUAUUAUUAAAAUUUUAUUUUUUAGUAAAAAAGCUAAUUUUUUUUUUAGGGACGAUAAGACCCUAUAGAACUUUAAAUUUUUUUUAAUUAAUUUUUAUUUAGGUUUAAUUUGUUUAUUUAAUUUAAUUUUUUAAUUGGGGUGAUUAAUAAAUUUGUUUAUCUUUUUUUAUUUAAUUCAUUUAUUUAUGUUUUUUAUUGAUCCUUUUUUAGAUUUUAAGAUAAGUUACCUUAGGGAUAACAGCGUAAUUUUAAUAGGAAGUUCAUAUUUAAAUUAAAGUUUGCGACCUCGAUGUUGAAUUAAGAUUAGUUUAAGGUGCAAAAGCUUUAAGAUUAAGUCUGUUCGACUUUUAUAUUCUUACA